UACGUAGGGGGCAAGCGUUGUCCGGAUUUAUUGGGCGUAAAGAGCGUGUAGGCGGUUUUACAGGUCUGUUGUGAAAACUCGAGGCUCAACCUCGAGACGCCGGUGGAAACCGUAAAGCUAGAGUCCGGAAGAGGAGAGUGGAAUUCCUGGUGUAGCGGUGGAAUGCGCAGAUAUCAGGAGGAACACCGAUGGCGAAGGCAGAUCUCUGGGCCGUAACUGACGCUGAGGAGCGAAAGCAUGGGGAGCGAACAGG
rnacentral:rRNA from 1 species